GUGGGGAAUAUUGGACAAUGGGCGAAAGCCUGAUCCAGCCAUGCCGCGUGUGUGAAGAAGGUCUUCGGAUUGUAAAGCACUUUAAGUUGGGAGGAAGGGCAGUAAGUUAAUACCUUGCUGUUUUGACGUUACCAACAGAAUAAGCACCGGCUAACUUCGUGCCAGCAGCCGCGGUAAUACGAAGGGUGCAAGCGUUAAUCGGAAUUACUGGGCGUAAAGCGCGCGUAGGUGGUUCAGCAAGUUGGAGGUGAAAUCCCCGGGCUCAACCUGGGAACAGUCUACAAAACUACUGAGCUAGAGUACGGUAGAGGGUAGUGGAAUUUCCUGUGUAGCGGUGAAAUGCGUAGAUAUAGGAAGGAACACCAGUGGCGAAGGCGACUACCUGGACUGAUACUGACACUGAGGUGCGAAAGCGUGGGGAGCAAACAGGAUUAGAUACCCCAGUAGUCC
rnacentral:rRNA from 1 species